rnacentral:rRNA from 1 species
UACGGAGGGUGCGAGCGUUGUCCGGAAUUAUUGGGCGUAAGGAGCUCGUAGGCGGCUUGUCACGUCGAUUGUGAAAGCCCGAGGCUUAACCUCGGGUCUGCAGUCGAUACGGGCUAGCUAGAGUGUGGUAGGGGAGACUGGAAUUCCUGGUGUAGCGGUGAAAUGCGCAGAUAUCAGGAGGAACACCGGUGGCGAAGGCGGGUCUCUGGGCCGAUACUGACGCUGAGGAGCGAAAGCGUGGGGAGCGAACAGG